rnacentral:rRNA from 1 species
CAUAAUAGUGCCUUUAAAUUUAUUGAAUACCAGCGCCUUCCCUCUGUUCAUAUUAAUUUACCUGUGAAUGCGCCAUUAUAUUACUUUAAUGCACAUUUCUCUAUUUCCACAUCUUCUCAAAAUUCGAUGGGUGAGAUUUAUCAUUAUGGUUACUUUUGCUUUACUGUCAAGUGCAGAAUACAACAGAAUAUACAGGUGAUGGAUCUGUUUGCAUCAGUGGGCAUCCUGCUUCCAGAAAACAUACUUGGAUGCAUUUUUUAAGAAUAUAAAUAUUUGAACAGUGACACUUUAUACUUCACACUCAAAUGCUCAUAUAUUACUAGAUACUUUACCCACGGGUUGCUGCAGGAAUGUAAAGUCUAAUUGCAAAUGAAUUAUGUAUGAAAGAAAAUAUCUAAAUCGAAAGCUACUAUUUUUAACAUAGAAAUAUUUCAUAUUUGCAUUGUGUGUGAAUAAAGAGCAUGCACGUAGAGUUGCAACAAUUAAGUCGGGGCAUUCCACAACCUUUAGAAAGUUAAAAAAAGAAAAAUUAAUCGUUGUGCUACAUAUGUCUAUGAACAAAAAAUAAACAUAUUGAUAUGGUUUGCAUGGGUUGAAAAAUAAUGUUAGUGGACGGUGACGUGGCACACUUGUUGAGAAGGCUUGCAUGUUGAAAGAAUUGAAAGUAAUGAGAUGGUUUGCAUGGGCUAAAAAAUAAUGUUAGUGGUAGUGGAUGUUGACAUGGCACACUUGGUGAGGUGGAUGGCUUGCAUGUUGACAUAAUUCAAAGUAGUGGAGAUCAACUACUUAGGUAUAUACUUCCUCCGUUCCAAAAUAUAUAGAUGACUCAACUUUGUACUACAGUACAAAGUUGAGUCAUCUAUUUUGGAACGGAGGGAGUAGUAUACAUCCAGCAUGAUGCCAACAGUAUUUGUGAAGCUAUUUUGUCUUUUCAGACAGUGAACGAAACACUAGUUGCAUUUGACACUAGAAUUUCCUGAUCGCUUUCUGUAUUCAAUACAAGAUCUAACAGAAAGCAAACUACUUUGUAACAGUCUGUUCAUUCUGCUGUUAUCUGGCCUAUUCUUCGAUUCGAAAAACCUAGUCAGUUAUCUCACAAAAGUCCUACAUGAAACAAAUUUGAAUGCAGCAAGACAUGUUGCAACUUGGCAAGGUACUAGCUAUCUCGCGCCUCUGGUUGGAGCCUUCGUUGCCGAUUCAUAUCUGGGGAAGUACCGGACAGCUUUGAUCGCCUGCACGAUUUUCAUUAUUGUAAGCACUACAAAUCAUUCAUGCCUAUUUAUGAUUCAAAAUAACCAAAAAGAAUCAAAGACUGCCCUUAUGUUGAAUAAUCACUGUCAAAGGAGAUCGUGCUACGCUGAAAGAGUAAGCCCUUUAUUUUUUAGUACAUGCUAUCAUGACUGUUCGGAUGGAUGAAAGACACAAAUGCCAUUGGCUUCUGGUGCUAAGUCUUUUUUUUUCUGCAGGAGAAAUAGCAUUGCAUUACUCAAUCACAACGUCUUUACAAUCAAAGGAUGCUAUUUCCACUACUUCACCUCGACCAGCUCCUAACCAAGUCAAGGUCCUGCCUUGGGUUCUAGCAAACUUAGCUAAGCAAUCACUAGCUUUAUUUUGAGAUCUAACUAUAUGAGAAAUACAAGUCUUCCUUAAACCCAUUAAGUGCUUAAUCUCUCUAACAAUAGAGGAAUAAACCGAACGAUCCGUAUGCAAGCUUGAUAUGAGAGAGACUGCUUCGAGAAAAUCCAUCUCCACCACGAUCGGCAAAUCACUUCGCUGCAAGGCAAGGGACAAGCCUUCCAUACACGCGCACAACUCCGCCUCAAGGGAGUCUCUACACGAAAACAACACCCUGCAUGACGAGAAGUUGAUAGCUCCUCGAUGAUCACGUAAAAUCAUGCCCGCACCCGCCUGUUCUGACGCAACAAAAGACCCAUCAGUAUUCAAUUUGCACCACCCCGGCUCCGGCAAGUCCAGCCCCGUUCGUCCUGAUCACCAACGCUUCUCCCCCUUCUCACUGUAUCCUUCCAUUCAAUGUAAAUUUUGCCUUUGGCUGGGUCAGCCUGUGGACUUAUGCAUAUAUAGUUAUGAUAUGAUAUAUGCAUACAAUGCAACACUUCAUUUUAUCUCGAACAUUCAUCUAGCUGUAUGUCAUUUUGUAUUGUAAGAAGAACAUAAAAAAUGCGCGUGACCUGAUAUUUCGGCUAUCAUUCUCGUUUGUCGGCACCUCAUUCUGGGUUACUUCUCCACCCCCUGAUCCAGUGCGGCCGCGCCAGGCCGCACCGGGACAGCCCCCGCCGGCCGACACGAGGCCUCCUUCGCCCCAAGCUCCUCCCUCCCGCCGCCGCCGCCGCUAGGGGCAUUCCCGGGCAAAGCCCGUGUGGCGUGGCGGUGGUGGCGGAUCUCCUCGGCCAUAGAUCGGAUCAAGGUGGCAGCGUUCCACACCGGCCAUUCAACGACAGUGUCGGGGGGAGGCAGCGGCUAGGAUCUACGACCUGCGGUGGCGUACGGUGAUGGUCCGCGGGUGGCGAUGGCGGUGGAUGCGCCCGAUCUAGGCCUAGAUGGGUUCAAACAAGCUGCCACACAGACCGUUGUACCGGCUGCAUCUCAACGUCUCUGAUGACAGCUUGCAGGUUCCUAGGCUAGUCCUACAGCACGAGGAAGCACGGUGCUCUGGCCCCGGUUGUGGUUGUGGUGGCCUCCUCCUCCACCGGAGGUGGUCGGUCGGUUGGUUGUGCCGGACCCCUAGAUCUCACGAUUAGUCCCGGCGGGGAGGCAUGACUGCUGGUGAAAACCGAUCUCCGACAAUGGUCUUGGUAGGCGAUGGCGACGUCUACGUGCCCUUACCUUAUUGAAGGAAUCGCCAUUCCAGCCACCUUCUACCCACUCGCGCUGCUUCGGGGGAAACCCCAGACCUAGGUAUCCCGGUUCAGAGGAUGGCAACACUCUCGGUAUCGCUCUCCCUCGUGAGGGCAUUGUUUUGGAGCAGCCGUUGGACGGAGGACAUAGGAGUGGAGCGGUGUACAUCUACCGCGUUGAUGACGGUGAGUCUCGGCGACGUGGUGCAGCAGGGCCUACGUGAUGGACGUGAGAUGAUGGACUCACGCAGGGUGGGGGUACUGUCUAGUGUGGUGGUGGCAUCGACGGCAUGUCUGGCAAGGUCGAUGCUUCAAUACCUGCUCUGAAGAUGGAUCGGUGGAAGAUGGUGGCGACGACCUCUACAGGGGGCGUAUGCGGUGCCCGCUUAAAGUGUGCUGGAUCGUUGUAUGUCCUGGACCUGGCAUUGCGGCUUUGUUGGGCAUCCGGUUUUAGAUGUUAGGCUUUGGUGUGAGGCCUGGGUAUACGACUCAGAUAAUCUGCACCCCCUCAUCAAGUUGAUAGGAGUAGCGACAGAUGUUGCCAAGAUGACGGCUUCAGACUUAUUAAUGUAUUACAUUGUAUGGUUUUGGUGAAUAAUAAAGUGGCUGCAUGCAUCGCCCAGAUGCAGAGGCCGGGGGUCAUCCUCCAUUUUAAAAAAAUGCGCAAAGCUCUAACACGUGCGAAAACAUAACCAUAAAGGUGGCACUUACCAAAACAAAAGAAAAGAGAAGCUAUAAAAACCAAACAGCCCAACCUAGAUGCCUGAUCACAAGAGAUCAAAAGAUGUGUAUUUACCUUAACGUGUGCAUUCAACAACUGAGUUCAGUUUUCUUAACAUGUCUGCUUACAUUAUUUUCUCUAUUCUGUUGUUUAGGGAAUGAUGAUGUUGCUUCUGUCAGCAGCACUUCAAUUAAUCUCAGCCGGUCCUCACGCUUGGACUAUUUGGGUACAUCUAAUCUCUUCUCAGUACACCAUAUUCUUGGUUGGGUUGUAUAUGGUGGGUUUAGGAUAUGGUGCACAGCGCCCUUGCGUCACGUCUUUUGGAGCCGAUCAAUUUGAUGACACCGAUAAUGUGGAGAAAACCAGAAAGAGCUCCUUCUUCAAUUGGCACUAUUUCGCAAUCAAUGCUGGUUCAUUAAUUGCUGGGACGGUUAUUGUCUGGGUUCAAGAACAUGAAGGCUGGCUCUGGGGUUUUACAAUUUCUACACUGUUUGUGACUUUAGGUGUAUGUAUUUUUUUCUUGGGCUCCAUUGUGUAUAGAUUUCAGAAGCCUGGAGGUAGCCCUCUGGUAAGAAUAUGCCAGGUUGUCGUUGCAGCUGCUCGGAACUUCGAUAAAGUUUUGCCAUGUGAUUCCUCAGCUCUUUACGAGUUUAUGGGGCAAGGCUCGGCAAUCAAAGGCAGCCGGAAAUUGGAGCAUACAACUGGACUUGAGUAAUACUCUCCUGAGAUUUCGACUCUUAACUUUAUAAUUUAUUCAUUCAUUCUAUUUUGAAUUUCCAUUCAAGUAUACCUGCUUAGUUUAUUUGCUAGUAAUAUGGUAUUAUAAGCUACAUUUUAACUUAUAUUCGAGUCCUUGAAACGGAAAAAAAAUCACACUUUUGUGAAACUUCUAUGGUGGUACAAAUGGGUGUGCUGAAAUUCGUACAAAAAAUGUUUCCCUCUUCUAUUUCAGUAUUAAGGGAAGUUGAAACACAGUCUGAUCAAGUAGAUUCUAUAAUUAGUAAAGUGGUAACAUUUUUCUUUCCCAUUCAGAUUCUUUGAUAAAGCUGCAAUUGUGACAUUACCUGACUGUGAAUCUCCUAGCCAACAUAAUAAAUGGAAGAUUUGCACUGUCACUCAGGUAGAGGAGUUAAAGAUUCUGAUUAGGAUGUUUCCAAUUUGGUCAGCAAUGGUAUUGUUUGCUGCAGUUCAGGAACAGAUGUCUUCAACAUUUGUAGAGCAAGGGAUGGCAAUGGAUAAACACAUAGGGUUCCAAUUUAUGAGAGACUCAUUGUUCCAGUAAUUAGAAAAUUUACCGGCAGAGCGAAUGGCAUUACGUCACCGCAGCGAAUAGGGAUUGGUUUAUGUUUCUCGAUGUUCUCAAUGGUGUCAGCAGCAUUGGUGGAGGGUAACCGGCUAGAGAUUACACAGGCCGAAGGUUUGGUGCACCGCAAUGUGGCUGUUCCGAUGAGCAUCCUGUGGCAAGGACCCCAGUACUUCCUUCUAGGCGCCGCCGAGGUGUUCUCCAACAUUGGGCUAACUGAGUUUUUCUAUGAUGAAUCUCCAGAUGGCAUGCGAAGCUUAUGUAUGGCCUUUUCGCUUGUGAACAUCUCGGCUGGAAAUUACCUUAGUUCAUUUAUCCUUUCCCUUGUGCAAGAAUUCACAGCCAGAGGAGGCAGCCUAGGGUGGAUACCUGAUAACUUGAAUGAAGGGCAUUUGGAUAGAUUCUACUUGAUGAUGGCUGGGUUGAGUUUGCUGAAUAUAUUAGUCUUUGUAUUCUGUGCUAUGAGGCACAAAUGUAAGGAAGCUUCUUGAGCCUCAUUGACCUCUGCAAUAUGGCGAAGCGUGUGAAGAAAUUGUAUUGUGGUAUCAUCAUGUGCAAAGGUAAACUAUGCCGCAGGUAAUUGCAAUGCCACAUAUCGCAUCUCGUGUAAAAGCACCCUUCGCCUGAACCCUACAUGAUAUUAUUUGUCAUCUACGGAUCUGAAACUGUACAGUACAGUAGGCGGGCUUAUCUGCAACAAGGUCCCAAUUUGGUGUCCGAAUUGUUAGGUGUGUUCUUCAAAUGCACCACCAUCCAUGAUCAUUUGCAGCCGAAGUCGUAAUGACCCCUGUGAUGGUUAAGUGAAUCCAUCUUAAAAGCAAAGAAAAAAACAUGAUACAUGAAGGAUACUAGCAUAAAUAGUUAAGCUAACUGCAAAGCUAAUAACUCGGCACGUCUUAAUACCCUGCGUUAUCUUCUUCCUCGUGGUUGAUUGACAAAGCUAAUAGGCUUAUGCAUGCCUUUUUCUAGAAGGCUGCAGAUGAGUGCAACGGUGGCCACUGCCUGGUCAGCGGCAAAAAUCCCCUUGGUGACUUAGGCAUCAAGAAUAUCCAAUUGUUCAGUUGGGCGCUGCAUUUGCGUUGUUUAUUGUACAGUUUUUUUUAUUCUGUAUAUAAGAUUUGUUUAAAGUCAAACUUUGUAAGUUUGGUCAAAUUUAUAUUAAAC